rnacentral:rRNA from 1 species
CACUCUAUACGGAGUUACAAAAGAACAUGUUAGACGAAUCAUCUGGAAAGAUGAAUCAAAGAAGGUAAUAAUCCUGUAGUCGAAAACAUAUUCUCUCUUGAGUGGAUCCUGAGUACGACGGAGCACGUGAAAUUCCGUCGGAAUCUGGGAGGACCAUCUCCUAAGGCUAAAUACUCUCUAGUGACCGAUAGUGAACCAGUACCGUGAGGGAAAGGUGAAAAGUACCCCGGA